UGCUGCUUCAUUGAAAAAAGGUGAAAUUAAAUUAAGAUGUCUGGUGUGUUAAAUUUUGUGAGGUAGGAUAUUUCUGGUGUUCCUCCAAAUUUGUACACCAGUUAAUACUUCUGAUUGAUUUUUUCUGUGUGUUUUAUCUCAUUGACAAAAAUACACAAAAAGACAGAAAUAAUAAAUACCGUAUACCUAUACAUCUUUGUAAGAACUCUGAAAUGGAUAUGAAUAAGAGAGAUUAGUAAUUUAUCACUUCCAUCAAAGAAAUGGACAUACAGAAAUCUAUAUGCCACUUUUCUUCAUCUGUUACAACAUAGCCAUACUCUGGG
rnacentral:lncRNA from 1 species